UAUGAUUUUCUAUUUUGCAUUGUCAAUGCCUAUUGUCCUGCUGAAAGAGUUGGAAGGAUUUAAUAAUUCUUGAUAUGAACAAUAAGAUUGAGCUCUAAGGUUUUGCUUGCUCUGUUGUUCCAGUUUGUGCUUAUUGAGUAUGUUUGUGCUCACCAUGUUUUUUCAGAUUGUAAUAUCUAAGUUUCAUUGUUGGAUAAGUGAAAAAUGCUCUUUUAUUCUAUACUUCUGGUUGUACUCAGGAUAUGAGGAUUUAGUUUUGUUAGAGUUGCGUUCAAGAAUCGAAUGAACAGAAAGAAAAUCUGAAUCUUAUUGAUGGUAAUCACACGAAGAAGAGUACACAGGCUUCCAUUGAGCUAAACUGUAUCGAGUGGAGAAGGAGAGAAAAAUUAGGGAAAACUGAAUUAGAUUUAACUAAUAAAAUCUGUCUUUUAAACAAUAGAGGCAAAAGCUAUUUUCUCUAAUCAUCUCAACUAAAACAAAUCUAACUGUUCCUGAAGCUCAUCAAGCGGAUUGUCUUCACUCCACUGAUCUGGCUCACUCAAAUAAUCACACAUUUAGCAUUCACACCGACAAGUUUUUAUAUAAAAUAUCUUAGGAUACACUUCAAUGAUCAAUAAUAUUAUGUUGCUCGGUGGGUCUAGAUGCAAAAUAUUUCAUACUCUCAAUGUUAGCUAGUUAAGUAACCUUUAAGCCAAAACAGAAUCAGCUCUCUUCAUCACCCCCACCGUUCUCGUCUUUCUCUCCCCUACUGCUUUAUCGUUCUCCACACCUGCCAAUUCUAUUUGAUUCGAAAGAAUUCAAUCUCUCUCUUCUUGUGUGCUCUAUCUCGGCCGAAGGGUUAUCGUGCCAUCACACCACUGUCGUGCUUUGUCUUCUCUCUCAGGUUCGGUAGGGAUUUAUUAAUAUGGAUAAAAGUUGGAAGACAAAGUCAAGAGUAACAGAUGAGUACCAAAAUGGACUUCAGUACUUUUAAGGUUAUGCUUUUCGCAAUGCAAGCAUAAAUGAUAAGAUAUUGUGUCCAUGCAAACGCUGCCAAAUGACAAUAUUUGCGAGUAGAGACGAGGCGUAUGAACAUUUGAUAGUCGAUGGAUUUAUUCCUGGAUACACAGAUUGGAUAGCUCAUGGAGAACUUCCUAGUAUUCUUGCUUCUAGGCGUGAAAACCAACAUAAUAAUGUAGAGGCUUUAGGUGAUGAUGAUAUGCAGGGUUUAGUUCAUGAUGUCUUUGGGGUUCCUAAUGAAGAUGGAUAUACGGACGGUACUAAUUCCCAAAUGGAUUCUGAAAUUGCUAAUGGGCAAGCAAGAGAGUUCUAUAGAUUGAUUGAUGAUUCAAACCAGCAUUUAUAUGAAGGAUAUGCUAAAUUCUCAAAACUAUCAUUCAUAAUCCGUUUGUUGCAUUUAAAGUGUCUUGGGAGAUUAAAUAAUAAGGUAUUUGAUAUGCUAUUGGACUUACUAAGAGAUGCUUUUCCUGAUGCCAUGGUUGGUCUACCAAAGUCUUAUUAUGAAGCUGAUAAUUUGAUGAAAAAGCUAGGCCUUGGUUAUGAGAAAAUUGAUGCUUGUCCGAAUGAUUGCACUCUAUAUUGGGGGGUGAAUGAAAAUAAAACUUCAUGUGACACAUGCAAUAAGCCUAGAUGGUGUACUACUGAUAAAGAUCCCACGGGUGAGAAAAGAAAGGUUGCCCAAAAGGUGUGGUAUUUUCCACUCAAACGAAGGUUGCAAAGGUUGUUCAUGUCUUCAAAAACGGCAUCUCAUAUGAGAUGGCAUGCUGAAAGUCGUACGAAGGAUGGGUAUAUGAGACAUCCCGUCGAUUCCCCAGCAUGGAGCACAUUUGAUAGUUUGCAUCCUAAUUUUCUGAGGAAUCUCGUAAUGUUCGAUUGGGAUUAGCGUCAUAUGGAAUUAAUCCCUUCAAAAAUAUGAGUGUAUCACACAGCACGUGGCCUGUCAUAUUGUUUCCAUAUAACCUUCCUCCAUGGAUGUGCAUGAAAGAGUCUUCUUUUAUGUUAUCUCUAUUGAUACCCGGUCCAUCAGCUCCUGGACAAAAUAUUGAUAUUUAUUUGCAACCACUUAUUGCUGAUCUAAAGGAUUUAUGGGAAGUAGGAGUUGAAACAUAUGACGCAUCUAAAAAGCAAAAUUUUCAGCUACGUGCUUCAUUGUUAUGGUCAAUUAGUGAUUUUCCAAGAUAUGCCUAUUUAUCCGGGUGGAGUACCCAAGGUGAAUAUGCAUGUCUGGUAUGUAACAAAGAAACACAUUCUAUUAGACUGAAACAUGGUGGAAAGUAUUGUUACAUGGGUCAUCGAAGAUUCCUACCUAAAGAACACGAGUUUCGAAAGAAUAGACGACUCUUCGAUGGCACAGUUGAGUACGGAGAAGCACCGCAACAACUAUCUGGCGAUAUGGUGAUGGAUGACUUGAGAGACUUUACUAUGAAAUAUGGUAAGCUAGUUAAAGAUAAUACAAAGCUUUUCAGUUGGAAAAAAAGAGUAUAUUUUUUGAGUUGCCAUACUGGAAAGAUAAUAUGGUUCGUCAUAAUCUUGAUGUCAUGCAUACUGAAAAAAAUGUUUGCGAGAGCAUCUGUGCCACAUUGUUGGAUUUGGAUGGUAAAUCAAAAUACAAUUAUAAAUCACGCCAAGACUUGGAACAGAUGGGAAUAAGACCUGAACUUCAUCCAAUUACUAAGGAGGGUGGAAAAGUUUAUUUACCUGUGGCAGCAUUUACAAUGAGCAAGAAGGAGAGGACAAUAUUUUGUCAGGUUUUGAAAAAUCUUAAAGUUCCUGAUGGUUAUGCCUCAAACAUCUCAAGGUGUGUUCAGUUAAAACCACCAAAAUUGCUAGGCUUGAAAAGUCAUGACUAUCAUAUUAUGAUGCAACAAUUAUUACCUAUAGCAUUGCGAAAAACACUCUAUAGGACAUUACGUUCACCUUUGAUUCAGCUUAGUAAGUACUUUCGAGAACUCUGUUCUAAUAUUAUUUGCCUUGCUGAUAUCUUUCGUUUAGAGAAAGAUAUUGUUGUGGUACUUUGCCAAUUGGAGAAGAUAUUUCCACCAUCAUUCUUCGAUGUAAUGGUGCACUUGAUUGUACAUUUGGCUACCGAAGUGAAGCUAUGUGGGCAGGUUCACUACCGUUGGAUGUAUCCAAUAGAGAGAUAUUUGGGCACAUUGAAAUCAUAUGUUCGUAAUCGAAGUAAACCUGAAGGUUCGAUUGCUGAAGGAUAUCUAGCAGAAGAAUGUUUGAGGUUUUGCUCUUUGUAUUUAGCUGACUAUGUGGAGUCAAAGUUUAAUCGAGCAUCUAGGAACGAAACUGUUACAAAUAAUGCAAAAAUAGGAUUAGAUGUAUUUACGAUUAACGGUCGUUCUCUUGGAAAAGGAACUGCAAUGAGAUUAGAUGGCGUAACAUUGACGAAAGCUCAUCAAUAUGUAUUGUUCAACUGUGAGGCUGUCAGACCAUACAUUGAGCAAUAUUGGGCAGUAGUUGAACAAUCUAAUCCUCGCGUUGCACGUCAUCAGUUGGAACGUAUCCACAGUGAAAGGUUUGCUGAUUGGUUUGCUCAAUAUGUUGAAGGGUUAAUUGUCCAUGAGGAAAAUCCAAUAUUAAGAGCUCUGAAGUUACUUGCUCGCGGGCCUAAUAUAAUUGGAGUGAAAUAUAAAAAGUAUAUUGUAAAUGGUUUUCGGUUCCACACGAAAGAUUUGAAGUGUACAAAGAAAACACAAAAUAGUGGGGUGCGUGUUAAAGCUACAACGUCAAGUUUUUCAAGUACUAGGGAUCAAAAUCCAAUCUUAAGCGAGUUGGACUAUUAUGGAAUUCUAACCGAUGUCGUUGAGCUGGAUUACAAUUGUGGACAUAGAGUUGUGUUAUUUGAUUGUGAAUGGGUGUCAAAAGGAAAACGAUUGAAGACAGAUGCUAAUGGAUUUACAUUAGCUAAUUUUUCAAAUGUGAUACGCCAUAAUGAACCAUUUAUUCUUGCAUCUCAAGUUGAGCAAGUCUUCUAUGUAGAGGAUCCAACUGAAUCAUAAUGGAGCGUAGUUGUCUCUGCUGCAGCACGAGCUCAUUAUGACAUGGAACCUAUUAUCGAUGUGGAGACUUACUUACAAAGUAAUAUUUGUGUUCCUGCUGAUAAUAUAGGGUUGGAUGACUUUGGUUGGGUUCGUGAAGACAUCGAUGGAAUAGAGGUUGACUUAAAUGAAUGAUUUUGAUGACUUAUAUGUUAUCAGAUGGUGGUUAUCGAACAACAUUCAGUAUGGAAACUACGAUGCUAAGCUUGUCCCUGUUGGAUGUGGAAAUUAUGAGGUUGUCAACACCAUGACAGCAGCCAAGAAGGGUACAAAGUGAAGUGUGUUCACUCCACAUUUCAGCUCUCCCUAUAUUUCUUACAAGAACUCUUAUGUUUUAUCGGUCUUGAAACUUUUGGGCUUUCAAACCUGUCUGGUAUAUGUCGUGCAACUUUGGCUCCCAUAAUUGGAUUCUGGAUCGUGGAUGGCGUCAGUUACUAUGUCUCUGUUGCUAUGAAUCUUAGUUUGUCUUGAUUGAGAUAGGUGUGAAAAUUUUGUGCAAAUGCAUUCUCAUUUGAGAUUUUUAUACUAUGAAUGAGUUUCAUUGUUAACUUGAGGUCUUACACGAUUCAGUUGAGCUACACUGUCUAGUUAGUUUGAUCACAAUAUGAUUCAUAAGAUUGAUUUUCUGAUAUGGUACAUGAAAUGGAGCUGGAAUGCAUGUGUUUAGAUUAGCAUUUGUAUGAGAUUCUGAUAUAUAGCUUUGUUGCCACACGAACUGCCCACCCAGAAGGCAUGGGUUGUCAUCUGCUGCCACCUUCCAGCCUACUGUCGAGAGCUGCUGCUUCGUCGUCUCCGCAGCCGCUGCUGCCCGGUGCGCCAACGAACUCUUUGCCCAGUCUGUCAGGCUGCCUCCUCACACAGUGAUAAUCUUGUUUUUCAUCUCUGUAUACCGAUUCUAGAUUUGCCACUUAAUAUAAUACUCUAGUUAACGUAUUACAAAGUUUUACUCGGAGUGUAGUUUCUCAUAAAUGUCUUAAAACUAUUUUUAAUUUCUACAAGUGUGGUUUGUGUG